UGCAGAGAACUUUCCAGAGAUGGAUUGGUGCCUUCGGGAACUCUGACACAGGUGCUGCAUGGCUGUCGUCAGCUCGUGUCGUGAGAUGUUGGGUUAAGUCCCGUAACGAGCGCAACCCUUGUCCUUAGUUACCAGCACGUUAUGGUGGGCACUCUAAGGAGACUGCCGGUGACAAACCGGAGGAAGGUGGGGAUGACGUCAGGUCAUCAUGGCCCUUACGGCCUGGGCUACACACGUGCUACAAUGGUCGGUACAAAGGGUUGCCAAGCCGCGAGGUGGAGCUAAUCCCAUAAAACCGAUCGUAGUCCGGAUCGCAGUCUGCAACUCGACUGCGUGAAGUCGGAAUCGCUAGUAAUCGUGAAUCAGAAUGUCACGGUGAAUACGUUCCCGGGCCUU
rnacentral:rRNA from 1 species